rnacentral:rRNA from 1 species
GGGUUGUGAGGUUAAGCGACUAAGCGUACACGGUGGAUGCCCUGGCAGUCAGAGGCGAUGAAGGGCGUGCUAAUCUGCGAUAAGCGCCGGUAAGGUGAUAUGAACCGUUAUAACCGGCGAUACCCGAAUGGGGAAACCCAGUGUGAUUCGUCACACUAUCAUUAACUGAAUCCAUAGGUUAAUGAGGCGAACCGGGGGAACUGAAACAUCUAAGUACCCCGAGGAAAAGAAAUCAACCGAGAUUCCCCCAGUAGCGGCGAGCGAACGGGGAGGAGCCCAGAGCCUGAAUCAGCAUGUGUGUUAGUGGAAGCGUCUGGAAAGGCGCGCGAUACAGGGUGACAGCCCCGUACACAAAAGCGUAUGUGCUGUGAGCUCGAUGAGUAGGGCGGGACACGUGGUAUCCUGUCUGAAUAUGGGGGGACCAUCCUCCAAGGCUAAAUACUCCUGACUGACCGAUAGUGAACCAGUACCGUGAGGGAAAGGCGAAAAGAACCCCGGCGAGGGGAGUGAAAAAGAACCUGAAACCGUGUACGUACAAGCAGUGGGAGCACCCUUUGGGGUGUGACUGCGUACCUUUUGUAUAAUGGGUCAGCGACUUAUAUUCUGUAGCAAGGUUAACCGAAUAGGGGAGCCGGAGGGAAACCGAGUCUUAAUUGGGCGUUAAGUUGCAGGGUAUAGACCCGAAACCCGGUGAUCUAGCCAUGGGCAGGUUGAAGGUUGGGUAACACUAACUGGAGGACCGAACCGACUAAUGUUGAAAAAUUAGCGGAUGACCUGUGGCUGGGGGUGAAAGGCCAAUCAAACCGGGAGAUAGCUGGUUCUCCCCGAAAGCUAUUUAGGUAGCGCCUCGUGAAUUCAUCUCCGGGGGUAGAGCACUGUUUCGGCUAGGGGGUCAUCCCGACUUACCAACCCGAUGCAAACUGCGAAUACCGGAGAAUGUUAUCACGGGAGACACACGGCGGGUGCUAACGUCCGUCGUGAAGAGGGAAACAACCCAGACCGCCAGCUAAGGUCCCAAAGUCAUGGUUAAGUGGGAAACGAUGUGGGAAGGCCCAGACAGCCAGGAUGUUGGCUUAGAAGCAGCCAUCAUUUAAAGAAAGCGUAAUAGCUCACUGGUCGAGUCGGCCUGCGCGGAAGAUGUAACGGGGCUAAACCAUGCACCGAAGCUGCGGCAGCGACACUCAGGUGUUGUUGGGUAGGGGAGCGUUCUGUAAGCCUGUGAAGGUGGCCUGUGAGGGUUGCUGGAGGUAUCAGAAGUGCGAAUGCUGACAUAAGUAACGAUAAAGCGGGUGAAAAGCCCGCUCGCCGGAAGACCAAGGGUUCCUGUCCAACGUUAAUCGGGGCAGGGUGAGUCGACCCCUAAGGCGAGGCCGAAAGGCGUAGUCGAUGGGAAACGGGUUAAUAUUCCCGUACUUGGUGUUACUGCGAAGGGGGGACGGAGAAGGCUAUGUUGGCCGGGCGACGGUUGUCCCGGUUUAAGCGUGUAGGUGUGUGUUCCAGGUAAAUCCGGUUCACUUUAACACUGAGGCGUGAUGACGAGGCACUACGGUGCUGAAGCAACAAAUGCCCUGCUUCCAGGAAAAGCCUCUAAGCAUCAGGUAACAUCAAAUCGUACCCCAAACCGACACAGGUGGUCAGGUAGAGAAUAUCAAGGCGCUUGAGAGAACUCGGGUGAAGGAACUAGGCAAAAUGGUGCCGUAACUUCGGGAGAAGGCACGCUGACACGUAGGUGAAGUGAUUUACUCAUGGAGCUGAAGUCAGUCGAAGAUACCAGCUGGCUGCAACUGUUUAUUAAAAACACAGCACUGUGCAAACACGAAAGUGGACGUAUACGGUGUGACGCCUGCCCGGUGCCGGAAGGUUAAUUGAUGGGGUCAGCGCAAGCGAAGCUCCUGAUCGAAGCCCCGGUAAACGGCGGCCGUAACUAUAACGGUCCUAAGGUAGCGAAAUUCCUUGUCGGGUAAGUUCCGACCUGCACGAAUGGCGUAAUGAUGGCCAGGCUGUCUCCACCCGAGACUCAGUGAAAUUGAACUCGCUGUGAAGAUGCAGUGUACCCGCGGCAAGACGGAAAGACCCCGUGAACCUUUACUAUAGCUUGACACUGAACAUUGAGCCUUGAUGUGUAGGAUAGGUGGGAGGCUUUGAAGUGUGGACGCCAGUCUGCAUGGAGCCGACCUUGAAAUACCACCCUUUAAUGUUUGAUGUUCUAACGUGGACCCGUUA